rfam:Pseudomonas resinovorans NBRC 106553 DNA, complete geonome.
AGGGACGAGCGGCAUGGAUGCCGCGAGAGCCGCGCAGGGCCAUGGAUGGCCCUUCGCGGCGGCCCC